rnacentral:rRNA from 1 species
GACGAACGCUGGCGGCGUGCCUAAUACAUGCAAGUUGAGCGCUGAAGGUUGGUACUUGUACCAACUGGAUGAGCAGCGAACGGGUGAGUAACGCGUGGGGAAUCUGCCUUUGAGCGGGGGACAACAUUUGGAAACGAAUGCUAAUACCGCAUAAAAACUUUAAACACAAGUUUUAAGUUUGAAAGAUGCAAUUGCAUCACUCAAAGAUGAUCCCGCGUUGUAUUAGCUAGUUGGUGAGGUAAAGGCUCACCAAGGCGAUGAUACAUAGCCGACCUGAGAGGGUGAUCGGCCACAUUGGGACGGGGACACGGCCCAAACUACUACGGGAGGCAGCAGUAGGGAAUCUUCGGCAAUGGACGAAAGUCUGACCGAGCAACGCCGCGUGAGUGAAGAAGGGUGUCGGGUCGUAAAACUCUGUUGGUAGAGAAGAACGUUGGUGAGAGUGGAAAGCUCAUCAAGUGACGGUAACUACACAGAAAGGGACGGCUAACUACGUG